rnacentral:lncRNA from 1 species
AGUUGUAUAUAUGAAGCGUUGUGGUGUUAGAAAAUAGUUGGUUGUAUUCAUAAAGAAUAGUUCCAAGGAAAAGUUAUUUGUAUUCACAAAGAGCAUUUGUACCAUUUUACCCCUGUGAAGUUGUAGUUAGUAGGUGAUGGUUGGAAGACCCGUAACUACAAUUAAAAAAGAACUCUCUAAUUUCAAAAGAAUGUUCAAAGUACCAAACGAUAUUGUUGUAUCUGUUUUACCUCAAAACUUAAGUUUGGGAAAUUUUUGACUUGGUUCAAAUGUCUUUUGGGUUGCAAAAAAUUGUGGGGCAUAUAUACAAUGCACAAGAAUUUUCUCAUUGCACGUCACACCAAUCUCUCAUGUCCGUUAUCGUCAACAACAAUUAAACAAGUUGACACUUGAGAAUAUUACGCAUUUGUACUUGUUUAUAUUUAUUGUUUUCCUUUAUCCCGAAUUGUCUCUGUUUUAUCGCAACAUAUGUAUGAAUAAAAGUAAAAAUACUCCUAAACCUUAAGCCACAGCUAAAUGUUUUACCUUUAUUUCCAGAUUCGAGACGAGGCAUAACAUGGAUACAUGGAUAAGGUAAAGUCUCCAAUUGAUAAUAUAGGUUUUAUAAUAUCAGAAAUUAUAAAACCAAUCUUGUAUGAGCACACACAAAGAUCACAAAAGUUUUGUCAGGCUGUACUGUUAUAACAGUACAGCCUGACAAAACUAAUGGUUAAAUAUAGUUUCAUAAGAAAAGUUGAAUACAUCAAAGCAUCUCAAACAUGUCAAAUCAGUAAAUCUUUGAUAAUCUAAAGAUUAAAGUACCAACAAAUUUACAAGCAGAUAGUAAAGUUCUAGAGGUGUGAUUUAGCUCUUUAUCAUGGAUAUAUGUGUUCUUGACAACCUGCAACAUAAGAGAGAUGAACAUAAGAAUUUCGGUUUGACCAUGUGACAAAAAGUCAAAGACACAAUAAAACAUAACUCAUAACUCACACUAGUUGAUUCUUUCAACACCAUUAUGGUCUUCUCUGUUAUUGUCAUGGACUUCAAGGCGUUCAAUUAUGUUUGCAAUUCCUUCAUUGACUUCUCUUCUUACUUCUGAUCCCAUAUUUGACAUUGAUGGUGGACUCUUGUUGAAAAGU